rnacentral:rRNA from 1 species
UACGGAGGAUCCAAGCGUUAUCCGGAUUUAUUGGGUUUAAAGGGUGCGUAGGCGGCUUAUUAAGUCAGGGGUGAAAGACGGUGGCUCAACCAUCGCAGUGCCCUUGAUACUGAUGAGCUUGAAUACACUUGAGGUAGGCGGAAUGUGACAAGUAGCGGUGAAAUGCAUAGAUAUGUCACAGAACACCAAUUGCGAAGGCGGCUUACUAAGGUGCAAUUGACGCUGAGGCACGAAAGCGUGGGGAUCAAACAGG